CUCCUCAGGACCUCCAGGACAGAUGGGACCACCUGGGCCUGCAGGGCCUCCAGGUUCCAAAGGUGACCAGGGCCAGACAGGAGAGACAGGCCCAGUGGGACCUCCAGGUCUCCUGGGACCACCAGGGCCACGCGGGCUUCCUGGAGAGAUGGGACGCCCUGGUCCACCAGGCCCUCCUGGCCCAGCAGGCAGUCCUGGCCUCUUGCCAAACAGUCCCCAAGGCGUCCUCUACUCCCUGCAGACACCUACAGACAAGGAGAAUGGAGACUCCCAGCUCAACCCUGCUGUUGUAGACACAGUGCUGACUGGCAUCCCAGGUCCCCGG
rnacentral:lncRNA from 1 species